UGGCUCAUUAAAUCAGUUAUCGUUUAUUUGAUAGUACCUUACUACUUGGAUAACCGUGGUAAUUCUAGAGCUAAUACAUGCUAAAAACCCCAACUUCGGGAGGGGUGUAUUUAUUAGAUAAAAAACCAACGCCCUUCGGGGCUCCUUGGUGAAUCAUAAUAACUUAACGGAUCGCAUGGCCUUGCGCCGGCGACGGUUCAUUCAAAUUUCUGCCCUAUCAACUUUCGAUUGUAGGGUAUUGGCCUACAAUGGUAUCAACGGGUAACGGGGAAUUAGGGUUCGAUUCCGGAGAGGGAGCCUGAGAAACGGCUACCACAUCCAAGGAAGGCAGCAGGCGCGCAAAUUACCCAAUCCCGACACGGGGAGGUAGUGACAAUAAAUACUGAUACAGGGCUCUUUUGGGUCUUGUAAUUGGAAUGAGUACAAUUUAAAUCCCUUAACGAGGAACAAUUGGAGGGCAAGUCUGGUGCCAGCAGCCGCGGUAAUUCCAGCUCCAAUAGCGUAUAUUAAAGUUGUUGCAGUUAAAAAGCUCGUAGUUGAACCUUGGGCCUGGCUGGCCGGUCCGCCUCACCGCGUGCACUGGUCCGGCCGGGCCUUUCCUUCUGGAGAGCCGCAUGCCCUUCACUGGGUGUGUCGGGGAACCAGGACUUUUACUUUGAAAAAAUUAGAGUGUUCAAAGCAGGCCUUUGCUCGAAUACAUUAGCAUGGAAUAAUAGAAUAGGACGUGCGGUUCUAUUUUGUUGGUUUCUAGGACCGCCGUAAUGAUUAAUAGGGAUAGUCGGGGGCAUCAGUAUUCAAUUGUCAGAGGUGAAAUUCUUGGAUUUAUUGAAGACUAACUACUGCGAAAGCAUUUGCCAAGGAUGUUUUCAUUAAUCAGUGAACGAAAGUUAGGGGAUCGAAGACGAUCAGAUACCGUCGUAGUCUUAACCGUAAACUAUGCCGACUAGGGAUCGGGCGAUGUUAUUAUUUUGACUCGCUCGGCACCUUACGAGAAAUC
rnacentral:rRNA from 1 species